rnacentral:rRNA from 1 species
AGAUGGCGACCGGCGCACGGGUGAGUAACACGUAUCCAACCUGCCGAUAACUCGGGGAUAGCCUUUCGAAAGAAAGAUUAAUAUCCGAUAGCAUAUAUUUCCCGCAUGGGUUUUAUAUUAAAGAAAUUCGGUAUGAGAUGGGGAUGCGUUCCAUUAGUUUGUUGGGGGGUAACGGCCCACCAAGACUACGAUGGAUAGGGGUUCUGAGAGGAAGGUCCCCCACAUUGGAACUGAGACACGGUCCAA